rnacentral:rRNA from 1 species
GUGAGGAAUAUUGGUCAAUGGGCGAGAGCCUGAACCAGCCAAGUCGCGUGAAGGAAGAAGGAUCUAUGGUUCGUAAACUUCUUUUGCAGGGGAAUAAAGUGCGGGACGUGUCCUGUUUUGUAUGUACCCUGAGAAUAAGGAUCGGCUAACUCCGUGCCAGCAGCCGCGGUAAUACGGAGGAUCCGAGCGUUAUCCGGAUUUAUUGGGUUUGAAGGGUGCGUAGGUGGUUUGAUAAGUCAGCGGUGAAAGUUUGCAGCUUAACUGUAAAAAUGCCGUUGAAACUGUCGGACUUGAGUGUAAAUGAGGUAGGCGGAAUGCGUGGUGUAGCGGUGAAAUGCAUAGAUAUCACGCAGAACUCCGAUGGCGAAGGCAGCUUACUAAGCUACAACUGACACUGAAGCACGAAAGCGUGGGGAUCAAACAGGAUUAGAAACCCUAGUAGUCC